rnacentral:rRNA from 1 species
UACAGAGGUCUCAAGCGUUGUUCGGAUUCAUUGGGCGUAAAGGGUGCGUAGGUGGCGCUGUAAGUCGGGUGUGAAAUUUCGGAGCUUAACUCCGAAACUGCAUUCGAUACUGCGGUGCUUGAGGACUGGAGAGGAGACUGGAAUUCAUGGUGUAGCAGUGAAACGCGUAGAGAUCAUGAGGAAGACCAGUGGCGAAGGCGGGUCUCUGGACAGUUCCUGACACUGAGGCACGAAGGCCAGGGGAGCAAACGGG